AAGUCGUAACAAGGUUUCCGUAGGUGAACCUGCGGAAGGAUCAUUACAUGAGCCGGGCGCUUCGGCGCUCACCAUCAUCACCCUUUGCCUUAUGCGUACCUCGUCAUAGCUUCCUCGGCGGGCUCGCCCGCCGCUGGAACCCUUCGAACCCCUUGCAUCGUACAUGAAAACUUCCGAUACGAAACCUGAAUUAUUACAACUUUCAACAAUGGAUCUCUUGGCUCUG
rnacentral:misc_RNA from 1 species